GUGAAGUUUACUUUUAUUUUCUCCUUCCUUUGAUUUUUUCUGGCUAUCGUUUCAUUUUCUUUUGGUGAUCGUACGUGAUAUUUGCUCUUCGAUCGUAGUUCGUUCAUAGUGCGAAGGAUGUGAGAAUCAAAAUCCUCCAGCAAGGUAAUUGCUAAUUUUGAUGUUGUUCUUGAGAGGCAAAUGCUCGAACAUCACGUUAGGGACUGAGUUUUGUUAAUAUAUGGAUGUUAUAUUGGAUGGAUUUUUUAUGAUUAAUCGAAGCGAAUAAAUGAUUGUUUGUAGGAUAA